rnacentral:rRNA from 1 species
AUGUGCGGGUGUGCGGAGGCGCUAGUGAGGGCGGUGGUGGCCUUAUUCGACGCCUUCCUCGUCGACUGCUUCCUCUUCUGGUUCCGCCGCUCCCGCCCCGGCCCCGACAGCCCCGCCUCCGCCCACCGGGAUCCGCUCGUGCCCAAGGACUGGACAGGGGAGGUGCUCCCGGCCUCGGACGAAGAAAGGUGCCCUGGGUUUCUCGGUUUUGCAGAGAGCACAUUGUCGAACCAGCAGUUGGCAGAUGGCAAUGACACAUAUGAGGAGCUUAGGCGAGAGAACACUACUUCAGUUAAUACACUAUCCAGUACUGCUAGUUCUCAUCUCGCUUGUUGUGCUUCUUGUACUGGGAGCACUCUUUGUUAUCCCAAGAUCUAA